CCUUUCUGUAACAAAAGCAAGUACACAUGGUGGUCUGAGGGGUUGUCUUGUCAUCCAGCAUCAGGAAUCCUACUGGUUCUACCAGUGCCUCCCGUAGGAAGCACAUUGUGCCCCUGAAUACAUGGUAUGAACCAGACGGUUCAAUCAUAAUGUUAGGAGAAACUGCAAAGAGAAUAAAGAUGGGAGCAAAAUGAGUCCUCGAUCCAGAAACUUCAGAAUAUAAUUCAUUGACAUGAAGAGUCUGCUGAAUUAAUACCUCUUCUUCUGAAUGUUUCCACUAACUAGUCACACUCCUUAGCAUCAGCACUACUGAAUUAUCAGUACUUCUCAUUACAGUGUAUUAGACAUGAUUUAGCAUGACCAAAGGCACACAGUACCUACCUCUUCCCAAGCAUCAACUCUCUUUCAGUCAACAAAACUUACCCAAAUGAGCUGUUAGUAGAAUAGCAUGGGCACGAAGGUAUGUCUUAAGCUGUAAAACUGCACAAGUUUUUACUCAGGAACAGAGGGAAGUUUACUAACACUCCAGUGCUACAACUAUUUCAGUCACGGAGGGGCAGAUACCUUUGGCUUAAGAAAAUACUUUUCAGAUCUUUCCACUUCUUUUAAACACUCCUCCUCAUCUACAACUGUUUAUCACUUUACAGACAAUGAAUCGAAGCCAACUAACUUCCUUUUAAAUCUUUCUUUGCUGAGCACCAGGAAAAUAAGUGAAUGGUGGUUUGUUUUUUUUCGUCCUCCACAAAGACAAAAAGAUGAACUGAGCUCCACCUAUAAUACAGUGACAUUGCCUACAAUACUACCUUCCCCAAUAUUUCAUAAAUAAAGGGUAACAAAUUUUAGAUUUAUAUCAUAAGGAGAGUUUCUAUAGGCAUGAAAUCGAAGAACUUCUGUUUUGUUAUUUAUAUUUUACUACUUGUUAAUAAACCUUUCCAUCUCACUGGAGAUCUUAAAAGCCCCAAUAUGUAUUCCACUCACUUAUUUUGUGGACAUACAAGUGUUUAAGUAUGACACAGAGCUGAAAUUAAGAUACUGUUUGUUAAACAACUAACUGUUUGAAGACAGCAGGUUAGAAGGUUUUCUGUCUGCUUACUACUAUUCUUUUGAAUAGCCUGCUGUUUUUACCUUGUGGUGUAUUAAAAUAUCAAAUGUAUCAUAGGAUUACAUCCCUGUAACAUGUCAAGUGUGUCCACAUAGCAUUUGUGUUGUGAAAAAUCACUGUAGUGAGAGCACAUAACCACAAUGACUAAAGCCAAAGGAAACAAGUUUGCAGUGGUACUGCUCUUCAGAAAGACAGGUGAAUCACCGACAACCAGAACCCACAUAUGAACACAGCGUCCUCAAAAUGAUCAUGCAGAUAGAGCUGUGCAGCCCAGAAAGACAUCACAUGGUAAGGAGCUCCAAUGGCCUAUUCUGUACCAAGAGGGAUGACUGCUUCUCCUAACACAAACAUGAAUCAUCUGACAGGGAAUUCUUCCAGAUAAAUCCUCUCUCAGCUCUGCUAACAUCUGGGGAGUGGAUAUGGUAAACUGCUGACAUGGGGCAUGUUGCAGAGUGUACAUAAUAGCAGCAUAUGAGUAAUAUGUACUGUCUGACCAUUACCCCACUUACUCACUUGCCCUCAUUGUGAAGCAACUUCUAGAAUGAAGCUCUGAAUAGGGUGAGAUGAAUAUCUUUCUAAUUAUGAAAGUGUCUGAGAGAGAGGUAUUUUUAUCAAAGUGUGCUAAGACUCAAAACUCUGACUACAUUCCCUGGACCUUCAUUAAUUUUUAAAAAUAGCUGAGAUAAAUCAAGCCUGAUAGCGUUAAAGCUGAAAAUGUACAACAUAAGAUUCUUUUUGAAAAGGAGAGUUACAUACGUAUGCAGUUUGUUCCGUUGUCUCUGUAACCUUCUUUACAUUUGCAUUUGUAGGAUCCUGGUGUAUUGUAACAUCGUGAAAAACUACCACACUGAUGCUGGCCAAGGGAACAUUCAUCUAUAUCUGCAACAGAAAGUUACAUCAAAAAAUCAAAAGAAACCUUACGUCCUGCUUAUCUUUGCAAAAAACACGAACAGUGGCACGAUCAUGAAAAAUACAAAUUUCAAGAAAUUCAGUAGAACUGAAAUGGAAGAAGGAAGGCAAUUGCAAGUUAAUGUGGUGACUUCAAGAAUAUCCAUGUUCCAGUAAAAGGAUCAUAAAUUGGCUGAGGCAAUGGGAAACCAAGGCAGUGGGAUCUGGGAACAUCUCUGUUGAAGGGCAUACACCAGCUGCAUUCCAGUCUCAUGUCCAGACAAAGACAGGUUAUUUGCCAACCCUCGCCUUUUCCCACCUGUCUCCAGGGUAAGGAUAGUUCUGCAGCCUGGUUUGGAAGAAGCCGCAUGUUCUUUUCUUGGAUCUUGGGGUACGCAAUGGACCACAACUGUGUGACAGCUCAGACAUAGCCUAAGCUGACAUGCUGCUCCAAACCUAUAACUGUCUCUGCCCAGUGAAACCUGUGGGGAUGAAAAUUUGGAAAGGAAUUCCUGGAGCACCAGCAUUGCUCUCCCACUACCUUUCACAGGAGAACCAGUUACAAUAGGAGUCAAACAUACACCUCCAGUUUCACAUUCAGUCUAGUUAGUUCUAUUACUCACCCUUUCCUAAAAUAUAGAUGCAGAGCAACCUACAAUAACCUACUUUGACUUUUCAGCCAUAAGCAAAUGUUCCUCUUUAAACCAUUAAUUCAAGAUUAUAAAAUGCACUUUGGUUACACGCACGUAAGAAAUAUGUUGGUUAUUACCAUGGCACUGGUAUUUGCCUCCAAUGUACAUUAAAUCAAAGCCUUUAUGACACCUGCACAUGUAGCUUCCAAAAGUAUUGACGCAGUGCCUAAAUCGUGGACAGAUAACUCUCCCAGUAGCACAUUCAUCGAUAUCUGUGGAAACAGAGGAACUGCAUUACUCUUAGUAACAGGUAAAAUGCAAUCUAUACAACCCACAUGAAACUGUUUUCACAUUGUGAAAACUGAAGAAUAGCCAAAGUACUUAUGAAAAUAUUAUUUUGAAUGCAAGCUGGUCUUCUGCCUGUGUCACCUCAGUCUAGCUCUUAACCAUGUGCCCAGAUUCUUACAGUUCCCAGGCCAGAAGCCUUCCCAAGUACAGUGAGUGACAAGAAAAUGCCUUCCUCAAAAUAUUCAUCCUUAAAACUGUAAUGGUAUUUGGCUGAAGAAAAGCUUUGUCAUGCUACUUGUAUGACUUUUCUCCCAUUAAUCCCUGCAUGGUUACUAAGAUAGCACUUGGAUAUAGGUGAGGAUUAAUAAUAAAAAAUACCCCAGUAAUUGUUUUUCCAAACACACCUGAAACAUUGUUCCUGUAGCACAGGCCAUACGUACCUACUCCAAAUACAUCAUCAUGUGAUAGAAGGUUGCUUGCUUUUACAAAGAUCUCAAGCAUCCCUAACCCACGGCCUGCUCAGUGAGCUUAUCAGAAACCCUCAUCAGUUCAGGACUUGUUCUCAACGAGGAGUUCAAGCUAAGGCCAAAGGUGCAGUGUUUCUGGGUCAACUACCACUUGGUCACUACAGGCCAAACACUUUGUCUGCUGCUUUGCAAGUUCUUACCCAGCACUGUAGCUGACCCCUCUUUCAUGGAGAUGUGUGUAAGGUGACCUUCAGAUAUCAAAGGUGCUGAGAUGCAUGGCUUAUAUUUGCCCUGCCAGCAGCACCUGAAGUAGUGUCUCAUCAAGCAACAUCUAAGUAAGGAUAGAGCUCUGGAAAGAUGUGUGAUGUUCAUCCAGCAUCUGAUGCUUCUCAGCUCCCUGAAGCUGCUGCUUCAUGCUAAGUACAUCAGGCAGGUGCCAACAUAGCCUGCUCUCACAGUGUGCAGGGCUCGCAGCAGGAGAGCAGGCUGAUAUCCAAAAGCUGCUCACACUACCGCUCAUUCUAUAGCCCUCAGAAACUGAGCUGAAGUCUUCCUAGUACUUGAACCCUAGUUCUUCUCUGAGGUAGGGACUUGCCACGCACGGCUGCCUCUGACGCACACUGCUUCUGACAUUUGCUGGUUAUCUGCAGGGCACAGUUCAAUCCUUUUCUCUGCACCUCUAUCAGGCUCUCAAUCUAUGGGAAAGCGAGAUUUUGCUCUCUGUGCCAUUUUUUUUUUCUGAAAAGGUUUUUUUUUUUCUUCAGCUGCAAGUGUCAGGACUGCGAAACAAAGUUGAGUGAUUGAUGCUUGUGAGAGAGGCCUGAAUAAGGCACAGAGAAGUCCGAGUUUCUUACGUAGCACAGAAGAAACAUUAGCACUGAGUCUGAGGUGCUCUGGCAUAUUCAAAUAUUCUAGAUUAAUCAAGAACCAUUCAAAUGGGGAACUAAAAGAAGCAAAUCCGCUGGUAACCUAAAGUAACCUAAAGCCACAAAUUACUGGUUGGACAGACUCUCAAAGUAGCUGCUGCUGGCACUGUCCUACCCUGUAUAGGGAAUUACGGAGGACAGCAAGGACUCGGCCCUCAAGCUCCCACCCCUGGCCCAUCAGACUGCUCUGACAGCACAGCUCCCCUCUGCUCACACUCUGCAGUACACGCCUGAAUGAGAAAGAAAAUGAGGCCAAUGCUGGGCACCUCUCCACAUGCCUGAGUCUCCUUAUAAAUCUGCCUCUUGGUCUGAAUUGGUAACAUUUUAGGCUGUGAGUACCUUAUUAAUAUUUUUACACGCCUUUCCUUCCGUACAAAUUCACAUAUUCGCAAAUUCAUGUAAGGAAGGAAGCAUGUUGGAUGCUGUCGCAUUGUUAAAUUUUCAAGGCAAUAAUACAUCCAAAAGGUAUAGGACUGAACUGCUCAUCAAUACCUUGUUGAAAACUGACACGUCUACUGCUUGCAUGUAAUAUGGAAAGUGGAGUGGAUGCUCUUUACUGGUGCAAAUAACUUUCUGACCAUUAGGUAGAAGUUGGAAGGUAAGUGCUGGCCUCCUAUGGCUCUCACAUAACACAGUGAUGGCGGCUCCCUGCAAACCCACAGAGCUGUACCAAUUCAUACCUGCGCCCAAACAGUGUAAGGCAGUUCCCCUUUGCCUGCUGCAGCAGGUUGUGGCUCACGCCUGCUGCCCAUGAAAACCGGGGCAUAGAGGGGUGAUUUGCAUACUGAUCUCAGCUUGGUCUAUGAUGGAGGCACACUCCCAAACCUAGCGCCAGUGGCUGCUCUAAAGGCAAAUACUACAAGCAGCACCCAAUGACUGUCAGCGCCAGCAUUCAGUAGAGAAGCAGGAUUACAAACAGACUUGCUUCUCUCCUUCUGCGUGUAGGGCCGUUUUACCAACCCAAGUACUAACCAACUAUGAUGAUGAUUUUAAAAUAUUCUUUUUUUUUUUUUUUUAAGUUUACGAGGCUAUAUUUUUAAGUUUCCAUCCACAAGCAAAACAUCUAACAAGACUUUCUUUUACAAUAAAAAUAAUUAUGAUUUUCAGUCCUCAAAUAGCUACAGACCUUCUAAAGCUAAAAUGUAUACCAAACCUACUUCAAAGAGCUGGGAACACAGAUUUAUUGAGUUGAGAGUCAUUAAUUAGUCAAUCCCUAUUUUCAAUGAAUACUUUGCUGAAUUCUUUCUUAUUUCUUUGUUAUCUAGUUGCAAUGAAUUGCCUUCCUAGCUGAAUUGUUUGGUUGCUCUACACUGGUUGGCUGGAAGGAACAUUUUAACAAGAGAAUGAUCUCUGUGGGUUAAACUAAGAAUAGAAUAAUGUCUAGAGGAAUUUAAACCUGUGCUAAAAAUAAGCAUUAAAUUCUCAGCUGUCUUUCAAACUCUAUUCAAACUAGGAUUUCACGAGCUGCAGUCAAUGCACACUUCAAUUUUCUUACUACCAUCUACACUGUUGUUUUUCUACUGCGUCUACACUGCAGCAGUAUCUGCACACUCCUUGGAGCUGACAAGUGUGAAGGGCUUGAGCACAUGUCAGGAAAAGACAAAGUUCUGGCCACAAAUAACUUUGAUUCUUGGAGGUAUUAUUUACUGGUUUAGCAAAACUUAAGCUUGACAGAGAAAUUACUUAGAAAGCAUCCAUGUCACAAUCAUUUCAUACCAAAAAAGGGAGAUGGAGCAUUUCUUGACCCAUGAAGGACAGCCAUCUCUUGCUAAGACUACUUCCUCCACAUCGUGCAAGCCUGUUCUAAUGUUUUUGUAGGAGAUUUUAAAAAUAGGUCAUGAUACCAGUCUGAAUGGUCAACACAGUGAAACACAAGUACACAGUUCUUCACCUUAAAGAUAUCUACCUGCCAUGAUGUCUGCCGUGACACUAAUUGCAAUCUCUUCAGCAUGUGACAAUGGUUAUUUUCUCUUUUGUAUGCAUGGACACGCUAGUUGUGCAUUUCAAAAAGCAUCCAUCCUAGAAUCAAGCCUGCUCCUCACAUCAGAUCAUCUAGAUACUGUCCCUUGCUCUGCUGCUAAGUUCUUGGUCAGAUAGUUAAGUCAGUUUCAGAUUAUUAGGGCAUUCACACUUUUCUAUUCCUUUAUUGCCAGCCUACAGUGUUGCUACAGGCUAUGGAACUGCAGCACUGCAUAGAUAUAAAUAAUAAAAUCACUGGAGCAUCGUAUCCUCGUAUCCACACAGGAUGUAUAGUUAAUGACUAAUGAAAUCACAUGUCACACUGUUCUUUAAACCAUAGUAAUGUGUGGUACAAUACAGACUGAUUAACCAUGAGCAACUUUUCCAUGUUCAGUAAUGUGAGAACAGUACAUUUCGUUUUCAUAUAGUCUGAAUUCCUGAGUUUAUUUUAACAAUUACACAAGAAAGACGGGAGCCUAAAUCCUAUUUAAUACUAGGAGUGUGCAGAGACCUUUAAUUUGCCUCUGGGAAAUCUCAAAGAUGUGCACAAAUUAUCCCUCUACUCUCUGAACCUGGGCAUCACCUUGCUCUAGAAAGGUAUGAGAGACAGCUGCCCUCCCCUGUCCUUCUUCAUGCAGACAUACUUUAGAGGUUCUGUUAGCAAUACUUUACAAUUACCCAGGAACAGGAGAGAGUAGUAACGGCCAGGGGCUUGGAUGCCAAUCAGCUCACGUAGACAUUAAGUAGAUAGCCAAUGAAACCUGCAAGACUGGAGGAAAGCACUAGGCAUCUCUGGUGUAGACCACUUGAGAACAGCUGAGCAAUACAUCUCCAUCCUCAUUAGUCACCUCUUGGAACUACAUGUACAUUGCAUUCUAAAUAUACCUGAUGAACUUUUUAAAUGCAUUCAGGGUAAGGAUGAAAAUUCUAUGAGGAAAAAGUAUAUAUUAAAUAUUAAAUCCACAACUGAUCACUUACCUAUGCAGGUUCUACCAUCAGGCCCCAGCUGUAGGCCUGGAGAAGGACAGCGGCAGCGCACUUCCCCUUUCAGCACAUCACAGCCAUACUGACAGUUUGCCAUUGAACAAGAAAGGGCACCUAGGGACAAAUAAUGGAACACAUUUAGAUAACGACACUGACCAGUAACAGAAAAUCACUGUAAUCUCUGGGGAAUUGAGACAUAGUAUAGUUCUGAUAGAAGUAAAGAAAACACCUGUAGAAUUUCUCAGUAGUCAUUCAGGCUUUGAAGAGCAAAUGCAUGUGGUUAUAAUGUAAACAAUAACAACAAACAAAAAUGACAACAACAGAAAAAAAAAAAGCACUACCACUGUAGCAAGUGGUGUAAUGGAAUGUAGUCCUCAUGAAGAAAAUAAAUUCCAGUAUGUACUAUAACACCUCCUGGACAUUAUCGAUGUUUUAAAAUGGGAGUAUCUUUAAUUAAAGGUCAUUUCUUCUCCCUUCUCUCUCUCCAGACAGUCAAAAUAUCCACUUUUAUGGGAGCAAGCAGGAACCUGAUCUCCAGAGAGAUGACAGUAUGAUUUUAUACCAGUCAGACAACCAACAUCUGCAGCUUUAAUGAUUUUACAUUUAUAAGGACGUAAUACAACAGAGCUGCAGGUGUCUUGCUGCAAUGAAAACGGCGAGCACUUGUCCCUGAAGGCCAAUUAACAGUGAUUUACAGCACUGAAGAAUGCUUCUGGGAAAGCUUGUAAUAAAACUAAUAAAAUUAAACUAUUUGCU